rnacentral:rRNA from 1 species
GACGAACGCUGGCGGCGUGCUUAACACAUGCAAGUCGAACGGAAAGGCCCUGCUUUUGUGGGGUGCCCGAGUGGCGAACGGGUGAGUAACACGUGAGUAACCUGCCCUUGACUUUGGGAUAACUUCAGGAAACUGGGGCUAAUACCGGAUAGGAGCUCCUGCUGCAUGGUGGGGGUUGGAAAGUUUCGGCGGUUGGGGAUGGACUCGCGGCUUAUCAGCUUGUUGGUGGGGUAGUGGCUUACCAAGGCUUUGACGGGUAGCCGGCCUGAGAGGGUGACCGGCCACAUUGGGACUGAGAUACGGCCCAGACUCCUACGGGAGGCAGCAGUGGGGAAUAUUGCACAAUGGGCGGAAGCCUGAUGCAGCAACGCCGCGUGCGGGAUGACGGCCUUCGGGUUGUAAACCGCUUUCGCCUGUGACGAAGCGUGAGUGACGGUAAUGGGUAAAGAAGCACCGGCUAACUACGUGCCAGCAGCCGCGGUGAUACGUAGGGUGCGAGCGUUGUCCGGAUUUAUUGGGCGUAAAGGGCUCGUAGGUGGUUGAUCGCGUCGGAAGUGUAAUCUUGGGGCUUAACCCUGAGCGUGCUUUCGAUACGGGUUGACUUGAGGAAGGUAGGGGAGAAUGGAAUUCCUGGUGGAGCGGUGGAAUGCGCAGAUAUCAGGAGGAACACCAGUGGCGAAGGCGGUUCUCUGGGCCUUUCCUGACGCUGAGGAGCGAAAGCGUGGGGAGCGAACAGGCUUAGAUACCCUGGUAGUCCACGCUGUAAACGGUGGGUACUAGGUGUGGGGUCCAUUCCACGGGUUCCGUGCCGUAGCUAACGCUUUAAGUACCCCGCCUGGGGAGUACGGCCGCAAGGCUAAAACUCAAAGGAAUUGACGGGGCCCCGCACAAGCGGCGGAGCAUGCGGAUUAAUUCGAUGCAACGCGUAGAACCUUACCUGGGUUUGACAUGGAUCGGGAGUGCUCAGAGAUGGGUGUGCCUCUUUUGGGGUCGGUUCACAGGUGGUGCAUGCCUGUCGUCAGCUCGUGUCGUGAGAUGUUGGGUUAAGUCCCGCAACGAGCGCAACCCUUGUUCACUGUUGCCAGCACGUUAUGGUGGGGACUCAGUGGAGACCGCCGGGGUCAACUCGGAGGAAGGUGGGGAUGACGUCAAGUCAUCAUGCCCCUUAUGUCCAGGGCUUCACGCAUGCUACAAUGGCUGGUACAGAGAGUGGCGAGCCUGUGAGGGUGAGCGAAUCUCGGAAAGCCGGUCUCAGUUCGGAUUGGGGUCUGCAACUCGACCUCAUGAAGUCGGAGUCGCUAGUAAUCGCAGAUCAGCAACGCUGCGGUGAAUACGUUCCCGGG